rnacentral:misc_RNA from 1 species
AACUUUCAACAACGGAUCACUUGGCUCUCGCAUCGAUGAAGAACGCAGCGAAAUGCGAUAGUUAAUGUGAAUUGCAGAAUUAAGUGAAUCAUCGAAUCUUUGAACGCACCUGGCGCCCUUUGGCUAUUCUGAAGGGCAUGCCUGUUUGAGUAUCAUGAAAACCUCAACUCUCAUGGUCCGCCAUGAUGAGCUUGGACUUUGGGGGUCUUGCCGGCCCAGUGUCGGCUCCUCUCAAAUGGAUCAGCUUGCCAGUGUUUGGUGGCGUCACAGGUGUGAUAACUAUCUACGCUUGUGGUUUUCUGCCAUAUAACCUUCAGUGAUGGAGGUUCUCUGGAGCUCACAGAUGUCUCUCCUUGGGGAGGACAGCUUUUGAACGUUUGAUCUCAAAUCAGGUAGGACUACCCGCUGAACUUAAGCAUAUCAAUAAGCGGAGGCU